rnacentral:lncRNA from 1 species
UGAAAAGAUAACUGGAUAAAACUGGGUCCCUUCUGCAGCAAAGAAAAACCCCACCUAUACAAGCCUGUCAGAGCUUGGAUGAAGUCUGUUGCACGAUUGAGCAGGUGAAAAUACAGAGCCUCCAGUCAAGAGGGAACCUCGUGCUCUGAGGGAACACCCCACUGAUAGUAAAACAUAAACGUUUGUGCAGAGGUUCCAUCACUAUUCAUGGCUACUCUCCAUGCAGAUUUUCAGAAAUCUGUCACAUUUAGACCAUUCUGCCUUGGACCACCACUGAGAUGCAAAAAUCACAAAGUGGGAAUCUACAGAGAGCUGACAUCAGCACAGAAUUAAAGAUAGUGCAACAAAUCCAGCUAAAAGGAAGACAAACUUUGGAGUCAGAAAUACUUUUUGCUACGUAUCUAAUGGAGUUCAGGUACUAUAGCCACAUAGAUAAAAAAAAUCACAUUAAAAAUAAGCACAGAAAGACAGAGAUCUUGCUAUUGACCUGUGCCAGCUGUUUUUCUGAGCCUUCUGCCAGCUCAACACACUUUGCAUAGUACUCCUGCUUGUUCUAUUAAAGAGUAGGAACACCAUGCUCAAAGCUCAAAAAGUACCUAUAGCAAAAAUAUACUGUGAGGU